rnacentral:rRNA from 1 species
CCUACGGGAGGCAGCAGUGAGGAAUAUUGGUCAAUGGGCUUACGCCUGAACCAGCCAAGUCGCGUGAGGGAAGACUGCCCUAUGGGUUGUAAACCUCUUUUGUCAGGGAGCAAUUGGCGCUACGUGUAGCGUUAUCGAGAGUACCUGAAGAAAAAGCAUCGGCUAACUCCGUGCCAGCAGCCGCGGUAAUACGGAGGAUGCGAGCGUUAUCCGGAUUUAUUGGGUUUAAAGGGUGCGUAGGCGGAAUGCCAAGUCAGCGGUAAAAUCGCGGGGCUCAACCUCGCUCCGCCGUUGAAACUGGCGUUCUUGAGUGGGCGAGAGGUAUGCGGAAUGCGUGGUGUAGCGGUGAAAUGCAUAGAUAUAUGGAAGAACACCAGUGGCGAAGGCGGCUCUCUGGUCUGCAACUGACGCUGAGGCUCGAAAGCAUGGGUAGCGAACAGGAUUAGAUACCCCUGUAGUC